rnacentral:rRNA from 1 species
AUUGAACGCUGGCUGCAGGCCUAACACAUGCAAGUCGAGCGAGCGGCGGACGGGUGAGUAAUGUCUGGGAAACUGCCUGAUGGAGGGGGAUAACUACUGGAAACGGUAACUAAUACCGCAUACCAUCAGAUGUGCCCAGAUGGGAUUAGCUAGUAGGUGGGGUAAUGGCGCACAUAGGAGACGAUCCCUAGCUGGUCUGAUAGGGUGACCAGCCACACUGGAACUGAGACACGGGCCAGACUCCUACGAGAGGCAGCAGUGGGGAAUAGUGCAAAAUGGGCGCAAGCCUGAUGCAGCCAUGCCGCGUGUGUGAAGAAGGCCUUCGGGUUGUAAAGCACUUUCAGCGAGGAGGCGUUACUCGCAGAAGAAGCACCGGCUAACUCCGUGCCAGCCGCCGCGGUAAUUC